ensembl:lncRNA
UUGAGAGUUUAGCAAAUAUUUAUUUCUUUUUCAUCGAAGUUGAGCCAAAUAGAGAUUGUACAUAAUGGUACAGACAAAGUACGUAGUGCGGAGUAGCAGAUCCACGUUAGAGUCAAAGAGACACACCGUUAAUGGGCCCUGCAGCUUGCCACCAGAUGAUAGUAAGUCUCACGGCUUAGAAUCAGUGAAAAGAAAGAAUAUGGCACACGCUGUUAUGAACCCAGCCAAGCAAAUAAAAGGAUACCAUACAGAAAAGAGCACUCCCAUAUAGUGCUCUAGCUUAUAACUAAGUCAGUUAAACACAAGCAGAACACAAUCAAUUUAUAAUGAAAGCCAAAAUAUAAAGCUAUCCUUCCAAGAAAACAAAAAUAAACAUACCAGCUUAAAUAGCACUGCUACAAUCAGCUGAGUGUUUGUGGAAAAUCUAUUAUUUAUAUCUGAUUCAAAUGCAACAGUUGUUGGCCUGAAAAAUGAGUCCUUCUUUAAAAUGGAACUCGGCGUAAUGCUCUGCUGUAAGAAAAAGAAUAUGGGCUUCUUGAGUGUCGCAUUUUCUCCUGGAAACAAAAUAUUUAUACAAUACUAAGUACUUUUCUUAAUAUAUUUAUUAGGCUACAGAUGUCACAGGUCAAUUCAUUUUUAAGGACAACAGCUGCUGUGUUUGUUUCAUGCUUAACACCAACACUCAAAAUGAUUUAUUAUAUUUUACAAAUUUUACAAAUGUUCAUAAUUACUAGGAAGAUUUACAAAACCCUAAAACCUAUAGCAAAUAUUGAACACUCAUUACAAACAUUCUAAGUAUUUAAUUUUAGUUAGAAAAAAACUCUAAAAUAUAUAUGGAAUUGCCACUUACUAAACAGGCAAAGACUUUCUGUUCCCUUUUUUCUACAGCUCUUAUUAGUGUUUAUCCUUUAUUUAAUCCCUGUUUCUCCAAGUUGAUAGUUUUGCACUGAAAUAUUCAGUAAUUCACACAAAAGAAAAAAGUUAACAAUGUAGAAUUAUAGACAUGGAAGAGACCUCACAAAUCACGAAGUAAAAUCUUUCUUGUUAACAAAUCUGGAUCUAUUUCUCAAUGGGUGACAUUGUGCUGAAGGAGCAAGUGAAUGGGCAUUGUUUUAUGUCAAAACUCUUUCCAUCCACAGGUCCUCUCCUGUAACAAAGAUAAAAGAGGUCUAAAGAAGUAGAAGACUGGCCCUAGAUGGAGGUGCCCCUUAGAAAUUAGGAUGAGUGGUUAUGAGUUUUGCUCAAUGUUAGAGAGCAUGGUUUCUCUCCUUCUGCGAGAAAGAGAAAAAUAGGGAAAAUUUGGUGAGAUCAAAGGUGAACUCUUAAUUCCUUCAAGUCUUGCAGGUGUCUAAGUAUGUGCCCUCCUUGAGUUCAGAGAAGAUCCAUCCAUUUCUAAUUUUCUAAGCCUGGGCGUUUCUCAAAAGAGAUUCUGAAUUUGAAUGAUUUCUAACCUCAGACAG